GACGAACGCUGGCGGCGUGCUUAACACAUGCAAGUCGAACGGAAAGGCCCUGCUUGCAGGGUACUCGAGUGGGGAACGGGUGAGUAACACGCGGGUGAACUGCCCCCCACUUUGGGAUAAGCCUUGGGAACUGGGUCUAAUAUCCGGGAGGAACCCUCCUUCUGGUGGUGGUUGGAAAGUUUUUUUCGUGUAGGAUGAGCUCGCGGCCUAUCAGCUUGUUGGUGGGGGUAUGGCCUACCAACGCGGCGACGGGUAGCCGGCCUGAGAGGGUGUACGGCCACAUUGGGACUGAGAUACGGCCCAGACUCCUACGGGAGGCAGCAGUGGGGAAUAUUGCACAAUGGGCGCAAGCCUGAUGCAGCGACGCCGCGUGGGGGAUGAAGGCCUUCGGGUUGUAAACUCCUUUCGCUAGGGACGAAGCUUUGUUGUGACGGUACCUAGAUAAGAAGCACCGGCUAACUACGUG
rnacentral:rRNA from 1 species